AGAUAACUGAGCCUUGAAGGAGAAAUCCCUCAAGUGGAAGCUCUCAAACUCAGGGAAACCUAAAUCUGGUUACAGACAUGGCAAUCCUGAGCCAAGCCCAAAAAUUUUAGAUUUGCGAUUUUAGAUUUGCGAUUAAUCUUCAAUCCAAAAUUCAAAAUCGUUCGACUGAGCGAAGCCGAAGUCUAAAAUCCAAAAUUGAGGGAAGGUGCAGAGACCCGACGGGAGCUACCCUAACGUUAAGUCGAGGGUAAAGGGAGAGUCCAAUUCUCAAAAUCUGAUCUGGCUAUUGUCAUCAGGUAGCAGUGAAAACUGCGGGAGAAUG
rnacentral:ncRNA from 1 species